rnacentral:rRNA from 1 species
AUUGAACGCUGGCGGCAGGCCUAACACAUGCAAGUCGAGCGAGCGGCGGACGGGUGAGUAAUGUAUGGGGACUGCCCGAUAGAGGGGGAUAACUACUGGAAACGGUGGCUAAUACCGCAUACUCUCGGCUACCCCAUAGGGGAUUAGCUCGUAGGUGGGGUAAAGGCUCCCCUAGGCGACGCUCUCUAGCUGGUCUGAGAGGAUGCUAGGCCACAUGGGGACGUAGACACGGCCAAGACUCCUACGGAGGCAGCAGAGGGGAAUAUGGCACAAUGGGCGGAAGCCUGAUGCAGCCAUGCCGCGUGUAUGAAGAAGGCCGUAGGGUUGUAAAGUACUUUCAGCGGGGAGGCGUUACCCGCAGAAGAAGCACCGGCUAACUCCGGGCCAGCAGCCGCGGUAAUUC